rnacentral:rRNA from 1 species
CGAUGAAGCCCUUCGGGGUGGAUUAGUGGCGAACGGGUGAGUAACACGUGGGCAAUCUGCCCUGCACUCUGGGACAAGCCCUGGAAACGGGGUCUAAUACCGGAUACGACACGGGAUCGCAUGAUCUUCGUGUGGAAAGCUCCGGCGGUGCAGGAUGAGCCCGCGGCCUAUCAGCUUGUUGGUGAGGUAACGGCUCACCAAGGCGACGACGGGUAGCCGGCCUGAGAGGGCGACCGGCCACACUGGGACUGAGACACGGCCCAGACUCCUACGGGAGGCAGCAGUGGGGAAUAUUGCACAAUGGGCGCAAGCCUGAUGCAGCGACGCCGCGUGAGGGAUGACGGCCUUCGGGUUGUAAACCUCUUUCAGCAGGGAAGAAGCGCAAGUGACGGUACCUGCAGAAGAAGCGCCGGCUAACUACGUGCCAGCAGCCGCGGUAAUACGUAGGGCGCGAGCGUUGUCCGGAAUUAUUGGGCGUAAAGAGCUCGUAGGCGGCUUGUCGCGUCGGGUGUGAAAGACCGGGGCUUAACUCCGGUUCUGCAUUCGAUACGGGCUAGCUAGAGUUCGGUAGGGGAGAUCGGAAUUCCUGGUGUAGCGGUGAAAUGCGCAGAUAUCAGGAGGAACACCGGUGGCGAAGGCGGAUCUCUGGGCCGAUACUGACGCUGAGGAGCGAAAGCGUGGGGAGCGAACAGGAUUAGAUACCCUGGUAGUCCACGCCGUAAACGGUGGGCACUAGGUGUGGGCAACAUUCCACGUUGUCCGUGCCGCAGCUAACGCAUUAAGUGCCCCGCCUGGGGAGUAC